GUGUGUGUGUGUGUGUGUGUGUGUGUGUGUGUGUGUGUGUGUGUGUGUGCUGGCUGCGGGAGCGCCCGGUGGACGUGUUCGACAUGGCGCGCCUGCGCCUGCAGGCCUCGGUCUGCCGGCCGCUGUCCAGGAACCCCGAGCCCGGGAACCUGCAGCGUAUCCACGACUCCCUGCAGCUCCGACCCAGCGAGAGUGAGUUCAGGGCGCUCUCCACUGGGUUUCCCAGGGUCCGUGAGGGAGACAGGGGCGUGGCCAGCCAGAGGAGGCGGAGCUACAGGGACCAUCCUCCCAUGUCGGGCAGCCAGAGAACUGCCCAGGACGGUUACCUGGACGGGAACCCCCCCCAAAACAGACUCUACCAGAGGGGGACCACGGCGGGCUCUGCCAGAGGGUCUCUGUUGGAUUCCGACAGUUCUUUCAUAGAUCCCCUGGGGGAUGCCUACCCCGUCCCCCCCACCCCGGAGCAGAGGGAGACCCCCCAGCUGUCAGCGAGGGAGAGGCGACGACUGACCAGGAAACCGCAAUCCCCCCCGCCCGCCUCCAGGGAUCCGGUUGGCCGGCCAAUCAGCUAUUCCCGCCAAUCCCAGAGCAGUGUUCAUGGGAUGGACCCGGGUGGGAGGAGGGUCCAGAACCAGACGGGGAGACCCACGCACAGUCGCCAUGACAACCAGACUGGCCGAGGUGACCGCCCCUCCCCCUCCCCCUCCUUCUCCUCUGAGGAUGAGGAGGCUGACUACGGGGAGGAGGAAGAGGGCUCCUCCCCCCCCCGCCACCCCACCUCCUCCUGGGACUCUGUGGCCACAGACCUGUGGGCCCAGCCCCAGGUGAAGGACGCGCUGCGGCGAAUCACCAACCACCGCCUGCUCAGGAGGGAGCUGCCUGCUGCACACGGCUCCGCCCACUAAGAGGAAGCCCGCCCACUAAGAGCAAGCCCCGCCCCUACCUCCACAGCCCGCAGAGUACCCCCUCCUUCCUGGUUUUAGAAGUUCUAUUUUGAAUGAAUUUAUGCAAGAAAAAGUGAUCCUUUGUUAAGAUAAGCAGACCCAUCGCCAGACGAUAAGGGUUGUCUGCUGAAUGUUUGUGUAGAUUAGAUAUUCCUUUUGAUGUUCAUAUUUAAUAAAUUAUAUUUUAAUGAGAAAUAUGUUCUCUGUGCGUGUGUCUGCAACAGAAACCUUUGAUAACCUAAAGUCUGGCCGGCUCCCGUUUUGUGCUUGUGUCGCUCGGUGAGAUCGACCCAACUCUUUAAUCUUCCCACCGGCGGCCAGAAACCUCCUGGAAGCAGGACCGGGCUGCAUCAUCUGGGCGUCUGACAGGAGGAGCGGGGCUCCGUCCCAGAAGAUGUCUGGCUGCUUCCUGCACCUUUCCUUCCUCCUCCUCUCUCCCAAACCUGAACUACCCCCUGCACAUAUUUGCAAAUAUUUUUAAAUAGAAUGUCGCGUUGGUGUCUCUGGUCUCUCUGGACGGUGGCGGUGGUGUCUCUGGUCUCUCUGGACGGUGGCGGUGGAGUCUCUGGUCUCUCUCUGGACGGUGGCGGUGGUGUUACUGGUCUCUCACUGGAUGGUGGCGGUGGUGUUACUGGUCUCUCUGGACGGUGGCGGUGGAGUCUCUGGUCUCUCUCUGGACGGUGGCGGUGGUGUUACUGGUGUCUCACUGGACGGUCGCGGUGGUGUCUCUGGUCUCUGGACGGUCGCGGUGGUGUCUCUGGUCUCUCUGGACGGUGCGGUGGUGUCUCUGGUCUCUCUGGACGGUGGCGGUGGUGUCUCUGGUCUCUCUGGACGGUGGCGGUGGUGUCUCUGGUCUCUCUGGACGGUGGCUGUGGUGUCUCUGGUCUCUCUGGACGGUGGUGGUGGUGUCUCUGGUCUCUCUGGACGGUGGUGUCUCUGGUCUCUCUCUGGACGGUGGCGGUGGUCUCUGGUCUCUCUGGGCGGUGGCGGUGGUGUUACUGGUCUCUCUCUGGACGGUCGCGGUGGUGUCUCUGGUCUCUCUGGACGGUGGCGGUGGUGUCUCUGGUCUCUCUGGGCGGUCGCGGUGGUGUCUCUGGUCUCUCUGGACGGUCGUGGUGGUGUCUCUGGUCUCUCUGGACGGUGGCGGUGGUGUCUCUGGUCUCUCUGGACGGUCGCGGUGGUGUCUCUGGUCUCUGGACGGUUGCGGUGAUCUCUCUAGACGGCAGCGGAGGUGUCUCUAUUUUUUCUCUGGACGGUGGCGGUGGUCUCUUGUCUCUCUCUGGAUGGUGGCGGUAGAGUCACUGGUGUCUUUGGGCAGUCGCAGUAGUGUCUGGUCUCUCUCUGGACGUUGGCGGUGGUCUCUGGUCUCUCUAGACGGUGGCGGUGGUGUCUCUGUCUCUGGUUGCAGUAGUGUCUCUGGUCUCUCUCUGGAUGGUGGCGGUGGUGUCUCUGGUCUCUGGACGCAGUGUCUCUGGUCUCUCUGGACGGUCGCAGUAGUGUUGCUUGUCUCUCUGGACGGUGGGAGGUCUCUGGUCUCUCUGGACAGUCACAGUAGUGUCUCUGGUCUCUCUGGACGGUCACAGUAGUGUCUCUGGUCUCUCUCUGGACGGUGGGAGGUCUCUGGUCCCUAACCUUAGCUUCUCCCUUCACAAAUUUGCAAAUAUUUGGGUUGUGUGGACAACACACUCUAAACCUUGUUAACACGGUCGUGCUAUCAGGAUAACUUCUGUUCCACUCUCAAGUCGUGACGAUGGAUCCUCUUGUCUCUCUGUUCCCGUCCCUCUCUUUCGGGAUGAGUGAUGACCUU
ensembl:lncRNA